UACAGGGGGUGCAAACGUUGCUCGGAAUCAUUGGGCGUAAAGCGCACGUAGGCGGUCUGUUAUGUCGGAUGUGAAAGCCCUUGGCUUAACUCAGGAAGUGCAUCCGAAACUGGCAGGCUAGAGUACUAAAGAGGGUCGCGGAAUUCCCGGUGUAGAGGUGAAAUUCGUAGAUAUCGGGAGGAACACCGGUGGCGAAGGCGGCGACCUGGGUAGAUACUGACGCUGAGGUGCGAAAGCGUGGGGAGCAAACAGG
rnacentral:rRNA from 1 species